GCCCCACGGGGCGCAGCAGGCGCGAAACCUCCGCAAUGCAAGCAAGUGCGACGGGGGAACCCCAAGUGCCACUCUUAACGGGGUGGCUCUACGAAGUGUAAAAA
rnacentral:rRNA from 1 species